GACGAACGCUGGCGGCGUGCUUAACACAUGCAAGUCGAACGCUGAAGCCCAGCUUGCUGGGUGGAUGAGUGGCGAACGGGUGAGUAACACGUGAGUAACCUGCCCCCUUCUUUGGGAUAACGCCCGGAAACGGGUGCUAAUACUGGAUAUUCACUGGCCUUCGCAUGGGGGUUGGUGGAAAGGUUUUUUCUGGUGGGGGAUGGGCUCGCGGCCUAUCAGCUUGUUGGUGGGGUGAUGGCCUACCAAGGCUUUGACGGGUAGCCGGCCUGAGAGGGUGACCGGUCACAUUGGGACUGAGAUACGGCCCAGACUCCUACGGGAGGCAGCAGUGGGGAAUAUUGCACAAUGGGCGAAAGCCUGAUGCAGCGACGCCGCGUGAGGGAUGACGGCCUUCGGGUUGUAAACCUCUUUCGCUCAUGGUCAAGCCGCAACUUUAGGUUGUGGUGAGGGUAGUGGGUAAAGAAGCGCCGGCUAACUACGUGCCAGCAGCCGCGGUAAUACGUAGGGCGCGAGCGUUGUCCGGAAUUAUUGGGCGUAAAGGGCUGGUAGGCGGUUGGGCGCGUCUGCCCGGAAAUCCUCUGGCUUAACUGGGGCGUGCGGUGUGGUCGGGCUGACUUUGGUGGCGGUUGGGGAACUGGAACGCCGUGUGGGAUCGUGGUAAAUGCGCUUAUAUCAGGAUGAUGUCCGGUGGGCGAGUGUGGGUCUGUGGGGCGGGUCGGAUGCUGAGGAGUGAAGCCUGUGGAGUGAUUGGUGAAUAUGCUAUAGUCUGUGUUGAGUUGCUUUGGAGUCGCUUUUCUAUGCCGCGUGUCGCGUUGUGUCGCCUGUUCUAGUUGUGUUAUGUAUGUGUGGGUGAUUGACCGUGCAUGUGUGUGUUGGACUGCGCCGUCGUGGGUGUAGUGUGUGGGGGUGGUUGUGUGUUGUGUUUCUUGUUAUUUGUGUGUUUUGGAUGCCGUGUUGUGUGUAUAUGGAAAUGGUGAGGCUGGUGUUGUGUGUGUGGGAUGUGACUUGUGUUGGUGGUUGUGUUUUGUUGGUGGUGCUUGUAGUGUGUGUAAGUGUGGCUGUGCACCGUGAUGAGGUGGUGUGACC
rnacentral:rRNA from 1 species